rnacentral:rRNA from 1 species
GAGCGGGAAGAGCUCAAAUUUGAAAUCUGGCAGUCUUCGAUUGUCCGAGUUGUAAUCUAUAGAGGCGUUUUCCGUGCCGGACCGUGUCCAAGUCUCCUGGAAAGGAGUAUCAAAGAGGGUGAUAAUCCCGUACUUAACACGACCACCGGUGCUCUGUGAUACGUCUUCUACGAGUCGAGUUGUUUGGGAAUGCAGCUCAAAAUGGGUGGUGAAUUCCAUCUAAAGCUAAAUAUUGGCGAGAGACCGAUAGCGAACAAGUACCGUGAGGGAAAGAUGAAAAGCACUUUGGAAAGAGAGUUAAACAGUACGUGAAAUUGUUGAAAGGGAAACGAUUGAAGUCAGUCGUGUUCUUUGGAUUCAGCCAGUUCUGCUGGUCUACUUCCUUGGAACGGGUCAACAUCAGUUUUGUCCGGUGGAUAAAGGUAGUAGGAAUGUGACUUCUCCGGAAGUGUUAUAGCCUAUUAUCACAUACACUGGGUGAGACUGAGGACUGCAGCUCGCCUUUAUGGCCGGCCUUCGGGCACGUUCGAGCUUAGGAUGUUGACAUAAUGGCUUUAAACGACCCGUCUUGAAACCACGGACCA